CAGAGAUCCUCCUGCCUCUGCCUCCCAAGACAUGCACUACCAUGCCUGUCUGGUAUUUUAUUACUAACAGUUGAGUAGAGAAAUUACUCAGUGUCUGAGGUUUCUCAGUAGGUUAGGAAGAAAGCACAGGCAGUGAAACUCCUCUGAAUGCUCUGAGUGGGCGUCACCUUGCUGGAGUCAGAAAACUCGGUUGGUCAGCUUUCUGUUGCUGUGACAGAAUCACCUGCAAAAGUCAGCACACUCACGAUCUGGUCACCCCUCAAGUGAGCCACCAUCUAGGGACCAAGCUUCCAGUUCGGCCUUUUGUGGAAUGGGGAUAUUAAUCGGUCAUAUUCUUGACAUGGGGAAAGUCUGGAAUCUGUCAGCACAAGUCCAGCUGUCUGUCUCUGAAGAACUUCCCAGGCAGCCGAGCAAGGAGGAUGACAGAAACAAGCUGGUACGUUUUGAGCAUCGCUCCCAGAGUCUGGCGUCGUCUCGGAAGGGGCUUUUUCUUUAGAAAGACCAGAAAUGCAUCUUUAUCUCUAGCUAGCAGUUUUCUUCCCCUUUGUUUUCAUGAGAGAUAAGAGUUACCGAGGCCUGGACUGGCUUGCUGCAAAUAGUCCUUGUAAUAUUCCACACUGCAAAACUCUAGCCACAGUCCCCAGCGGUCACCAUGCAAACACCAGGAUAAACUACAUCUUCGAAGCACUGAGCACAGGCAAGCUGUUGGAGUGUGGGGAACUGCUGUCACUGAACACAGCAUGGCGGUCCCCUCUCCAGGUGCCGGUGCUCUUAUACCUCCAACCUCCAGAACCAGGAGUGCAGUGAAUGUGUGUUUAUAACUUACUCAGCGUUCUGAUCGAGCAGCAGCAGCAGAUCAUCCUGAAUGCCAUUGUAUACUUUAAAGAAAAAACUCACAUACUUGGCGUGGCAUCUUUCUUCUAUGGCUUCACUUCGUAAGUCCACCUCAUCCAUGAGGACGUGGGCCUGCCCUCUCUGUCCCUGAGUCAGCUUUAGCCAUUCCUGAUGGCGCAGUGGCCCCUCCUAGGAGAAGAUCUGUUCUCUCACUGUGUGUCUCCUCACAGCAACCCUGAGGGUACUCUCCUCAUACCUCGGGAACUUGAAGUUCAAGGGUAACGGCACAGCUCCCAGGGGGCAGUGAGGAUUACGAGCCAGGCCGCCAUGUCUGUGCGCAGGACACCUCAGCCCAUUUCCUCUGAAGAAGACUGACCUGCAGCUCCCUGAAAAGGCCAGGGAGGAGACAGGGACUCAGCAUGGGCAAACGCAUCGAAAUCAUCCUGCAAGGUGCGAUCCCUCAUCAGAUUCUGUGAUGGCGCCCAGGAAUUCGGCCACAGGUGUCCACAUACUGCUGAAGGGGCACUUUUGAGAAUAAAUUAAUGUUUUGUUGGGGUUUGUUUUGUUUUUUCGAGA